rnacentral:piRNA from 1 species
UGCCAGAAUGGAGACAGAGGCAGAGG